ACCUUAAGAACAAAGAGCAAAUACCUGUUCCCAUAACAAAAUCGGGAACUAUGUCGGUGUAUUCCCAUGGUACAUUUCGAACGUGAGGCUAUUGUUUAUGAGCAAGCUUUAUCCACGAGUAAGAAACUUACCAAUAAAGGAUUUCCUUUCUAUAAGAAGUUAAUAUAGUCCUUAUCAGAAUGGUGAUAAUCCCACUACAGAAAAGAAAAAAGCAAGAUUAAAAAUGCAUUUUCAACCUGCUAUAACAAACCAUGCGAUCUGUCUUCAGCUUCUUACCUGUCGAGGGUUUACCAAAAUAGAGUGAGCUGUAACCCUAGACACUUUUUGAGGAGUUGGCUGUUGAGCAAAACCAGCUUUUUUCUCUACUUCUUCUAAGGCGCUAACUGCAAGCUGCUCAAAUUCCUCAUCAUCGAUAUCAGACAUUGUCUAAAAUAUAUAAAAAAAAAAAACAGAACUGCUCAAGAGCUUCGCUAAUGAAUACUGUUUCAAUAUCUGUUGUACUCAAUUGGGAAAUUUGGUAGGAGUAAGUUGACCAUACCAAGCUUAUAUUAUGUUACUAAAACAGCAUGGUUUCUGGCUACUACGUUGUUGAAAACGUUCUAUGACUUAUUAUUUUUUUACUAGUUAGCGGAAAACCGAAGAAAUAGCAAACUCCUAUAGAAUGGGUAUAUCAACUUACAUGUCAUUAAGAUAAAACAUUUACACGGCGUCCCAAUGUCUUGUAAUAGACUUAACUGAUUCUUACUUUCUAUACCGAUUUACAUAUACAAACUAAAUUUCGUUGAAUAAAUGGACAUACAAUACAAAUGACGAUUAAAGAUAUUGUAAACAAAUUCAUUAAUUUUCAAAUUGUAGCACUACUUGAGCUUUAUCGUCUAAGAUGUUAGUAAAUUAAGGAACAAAAUUU